rnacentral:misc_RNA from 1 species
AAAAGAUUCAUUUUUUUCUUGAUUUAUUCAUUGCUUCUUUGCUACUCCUUAAUUGGUUCAGAUAGAUCUAUUAAUGGUUUGUAAGAUUAGUGUGUAAAUUCUCUUUGGGGAAUUUGGAGUUUGUAGUGCCCACCAGGUGUUUGUUAAAAUGGGGCUAUGGGUGCAUUUGGUUCUAGCUUUUAUGUUGUCCUGUUUCUUGAUUCUGGAGGCUAAUGCUGCUUUUACUCCUGCUGAUAAAUAUUUGAUUGCUUGUGGAUCUUCCAAAAAUGUGACCUUUCUUGGCCAGAUUUUUGUUCCUGAUACACACCAUUCUUCAGUUGUUUUGGAAAGUGAAGAAAAUUCUAUUUCUGCAACAUCUAAUUCCACUGCUCCAUUUUCAAUUUACCAGUCUGCUAGAAUUUUCCACACUACAACAUCUUACGAAUUUGAUAUUCAUCGAGAAGGGCGACAUUGGGUUCGCCUUUAUUUCUAUCCUCUCCCUGGUUAUAACUUAACAUCUGCCUCAAUCACAGUUGUCACAGAGAAUUUUGUUCUGUUGAACAAUUUCAGUUUCAAGAGAUAUAAGGGUACUUACCUAUUUAAGGAAUACUCAAUUAAUGUCACUUCAGAUAGCUUGACUGUUGCUUUAAUCCCUUCAAACAACUCUGUCGCCUUUAUUAAUGCAAUUGAAGUUGUAUCAGCUCCUGAUGAGUUGAUUCCUGAUCAAGCAGUGACUGCAUCUCCACCAGGACCUUUCAAUGGCCUUUCUGGGCUAGCCCUUGAAACUGUUUAUCGGUUAAACAUGGGAGGUCCUUUGAUUACUGCUCAGAAUGAUACUUUAGGAAGAACGUGGGAGAAUGAUGUUAAGUACCUGCAUGUUAACAGCUCUGCAGUGAAUGUUUCAGUUACCCCUUCAAGCAUAAAAUAUCCAGCCACCAUUACUCCGGAAAUAGCACCAAAUUGGGUUUAUGCUACUGCUGAAACCAUGGGAGAUGCUAAUACUGUCGAUGGGAAUUUCAAUAUCACCUGGGAGUUCCCGGUUGAUCCAAACUUCAUGUACCUCAUCCGCGUACAUUUUUGUGAUAUCGUGAGCGAGUCCUUGAAUACAUUACUUUUUAAUCUGUACAUAAAUGAUGACACUGCUUUACUGGACCUGGAUUUGUCUUCAGUUGGUAAGUUGGACAUGCCGUAUUACAGAGAUUUUGUCUCCAACUCCACAACAAAUUCAGGUGUUCUGACAGUCAGUGUUGG